rnacentral:rRNA from 1 species
UACGGAGGAUGCAAGCGUUAUCCGGAAUGAUUGGGCGUAAAGCGCGUGUAGGCGGUCCGGUAAGUCCGCUGUGAAAGUCGGGGGCUCAACCCUCGGAUGCCGGUGGAUACUGUCGGGCUUGAGUACGGAAGAGGCGAGUGGAAUUCCUGGUGUAGCGGUGAAAUGCGCAGAUAUCAGGAGGAACACCAAUUGCGAAGGCAGCUCGCUGGGACGUUACUGACGCUGAGACGCGAAAGCGUGGGGAGCAAACAGG